rnacentral:rRNA from 1 species
UACGAAGGGUGCAAGCGUUACUCGGAAUUACUGGGCGUAAAGCGCACGUAGGCGGUUUGUUAAGUCGGAUGUGAAAUCCCUCGGCUCAACUGAGGAAGUGCAUCCGAAACUGGCAGGCUUGAGUACUAAAGAGGGUCGCGGAAUUCCCGGUGUAGAGGUGAAAUUCGUAGAUAUCAGGAGGAACACCUGUGGUGUAGACAGCUUACUGGACAACUCCUGACGCUGAGACACGAAAGCGUGGGUAGCAAACAGG